rnacentral:rRNA from 1 species
GAUUAACGCUGGCGGCAUGCCUAAUACAUGCAAGUCGAACGGAAGCAGCAAUGCUUUAGUGGCGAACGGGUGAGUAACACGUAGGGAACCUACCUAUACGACGAGGAUAACUACUGGAAACGGUAGCUAAAACUGGAUAGGAUCAAUUGAGGCAUCUUGAUUGAUUUAAAGAUCCUUCGGGAUUACGUAGAGAUGGCCCUGCGGCGCAUUAGCUAGUUGGUGAGGUAACGGCCCACCAAGGCGACGAUGCGUAGCUGAGCUGAGAGGCUAAACAGCCACACUGGGACUGAGACACGGCCCAGACUCCUACGGGAGGCAGCAGUAGGGAAUUUUCGGCAAUGGGGGAAACCCUGACCGAGCAAUGCCGCGUGAACGAUGAAGGUCUUCGGAUUGUAAAGUUCUGUGAUUGGGGAAGAAUGGUAUUCUUAGGGAAUGAGGAGUACAUGACGGUACCCGAUUAGAAAGCCCCGGCUAACUAUGUGCCAGCAGCCGCG